GAUGAAGAACGCAGCGAAAUGCGAUAAGUAGUGUGAAUUGCAGAAUUCAGUGAAUCAUCGAAUCUUUGAACGCACAUUGCGCCCCUUGGUAUUCCGAGGGGCAUGCCUGUUCGAGCGUCAUUACACCACUCAAGCACUGCUUGGUAUUGGGCACUCGUCCGUCGAAAGACGGGCGUGCCUCGAAGACCUCGGCGGGGUUUCUCCAACUUCGGGCGUAGUAGAGUUAAAUCAAAACGUCUUAUAAGCUUGGUGAGAUCUCAUUGCCGUUAAACCUUUUUUUUUCAGGUUGACCUCGGAUCAGGUAGGGAUACCCGCUGAACUUAAGCAUAUCAAUAAGCGGAGGA
rnacentral:misc_RNA from 1 species